GUCUAUGGCCAUACCACCCUGAACACGCCCAAUCUCGUCUGAUCUCAGAAGCUAAACAGGGUCAGGCCUGGUUAGUACUUGGAUGGGAGACAAGUCACUUAACCU
rnacentral:rRNA from 1 species